AGGUUAAGUGAAUAAGGGCGCACGGAGGAUGCCUUGGCACUAGGAGUCGAAGAAGGACGCGACAAACGGCGAAACGCCUCGGGGAGCUGUAAGUGAGCUUUGAUCCGGGGAUAUCCGAAUGGGGAAACCCGCUAGUGGUUAUACGCUAGCACCAUAUGGUGAAUACAUAGCCAUAUAGGAGACAGACCCAGGGAACUGAAACAUCUAAGUACCUGGAGGAAAAGAAAGAAAAAUCGAUUCCCGUAGUAGCGGCGAGCGAAGUGGGAAGAGCCCAAACCGGCACUAGCCGGGGUUGUAGGACCUUCAUAAUUGACAAAUCAUGAUAGCCGAGUGGUCUGGGAAGGCCAACCGGAGAGGGUGAGAGUCCCGUAGGUGAAAUUGUGAAAUGCAUGGAAGGAAUCCUGAGUACGGCGGGACACGUGGAAUCCCGUCGGAAUCAACGAGGACCAUCUCGUAAGGCUAAAUACUACCUAGUGACCGAUAGUGAACCAGUACCGUGAGGGAAAGGUGAAAAGAACCCCGGAAGGGGAGUGAAAGAGAACCUGAAACCGUGUGCCUACAAAUAGUCAGAGCCCGUUAAUGGGUGAUGGCGUGCCUUUUGUAGAAUGAACCGGCGAGUUACGAUAUCGUGCGAGGUUAAGCAGAAGAUGCGGAGCCGUAGCGAAAGCGAGUCUGAAUAGGGCGAAGAGUACGAUGUUGUAGACCCGAAACCGUGUGAGCUAGCCAUGAGCAGGCUGAAGGUCAGGUAACACUGACUGGAGGGCCGAACCAGGGCACGUUGAAAAGUGCUUGGAUGACUUGUGGCUAGGGGUGAAAUUCCAAUCGAACACGGAUAUAGCUGGUUCUCUCCGAAAUAGCUUUAGGGCUAGCCUCGAUGGCAAGUCUACUGGAGGUAGAGCACUGAAUGGGUGAUGGCCCCACCUCGGGGUACUGAUCUCAAUCAAACUCCGAAUGCCAGAUAGAUAUCAUCGGGAGUCAGACUGUGGGUGAUAAGGUCCAUGGUCAAAAGGGAAAGAGCCCAGACCGCCAGCUAAGGCCCCCAAGUGUCCGUUAAGUGGAAAAGGAUGUGGAGAUGCACAGACAACUAGGAGGUUGGCUUAGAAGCAGCCAUCCUUUAAAGAGUGCGUAAUAGCUCACUAGUCGAGUGACUCUGCGCCGAAAAUGUACCGGGGCUAAACGGACCGCCGAAGCUGCGGAUUGACACUUAGGUGUCAGUGGUAGGAGAGCGUUCUAACAGCGGAGAAGCAGUACCGGAAGGAGCUGUGGAGCGGUUAGAAGUGAGAAUGCCGGUGUGAGUAGCGAAAGAUAGGUGAGAAUCCUAUCCAUCGAAAGCCUAAGGUUUCCAGGGGAAGGCUCGUCCGCCCUGGGUAAGUCGGGACCUAAGGUGAGGCCGAAAGGCGUAGCCGAUGGACAACAGGUUGAUAUUCCUGUACCACUUAUUAAACUGAUGGAGUGACGGAGAAGGCUAAGUUGAGCGUGUUAAUGGAUUCACGUGUAAGCAGUGAGGUGGUCAUGUAGGCAAAUCCGCAUGGCAUAACAUUGAGCUGUGAUGCCGAAGCCGUAUGGCGAAGUCAACUGAUGUCACGCUUCCAAGAAAAGCUUCUAGGGUUAAUUUAGUAAGUGCCCGUACCGAUAACCGACACAGGUAGGCGAGGAGAGAAUCCUAAGAUGAGCGAGAGAACUCUUGUUAAGGAACUCGGCAAAAUGACCCCGUAACUUCGGGAGAAGGGGUGCUUGUGAAAGCAAGCCGCAGUGAAUAGGCCCAGGCGACUGUUUAUCAAAAACACAGGUCUCUGCUAAACCGCAAGGUGAUGUAUAGGGGCUGACGCCUGCCCGGUGCUGGAAGGUUAAGAGGAGAGGUUAGCGCAAGCGAAGCUUUGAAUUGAAGCCCCAGUAAACGGCGGCCGUAACUAUAACGGUCCUAAGGUAGCGAAAUUCCUUGUCGGGUAAGUUCCGACCCGCACGAAAGGCGUAACGAUCUGGGCGCUGUCUCAACAAGAGACUCGGUGAAAUCAUAGUACCUGUGAAGAUGCAGGUUACCCGCGACAGGACGGAAAGACCCCGUGGAGCUUUACUGUAGCUUGAUAUUGAGCACUGGUGACACAUGUACAGGAUAGGUAGGAGACGAAGAAGCCAGGACGCCAGUCUUGGUGGAGUCGCUGUUGGGAUACUACCCUUGUGUUACUGGGGUUCUAACCCGUGGCCAUGAUCUGGUCAGGGAACAGUGUCAGGUGGGCAGUUUGACUGGGGCGGUCGCCUCCCAAAGAGUAACGGAGGCGCCCAAAGGUUCCCUCAGAAUGGUUGGAAAUCAUUCGAAGAGUGUAAAGGCAGAAGGGAGCUUGACUGCGAGACCUACAAGUCGAGCAGGGACGAAAGUCGGGCUUAGUGAUCCGGCGGUACCGAAUGGAAGGGCCGUCGCUCAACGGAUAAAAGCUACCUCGGGGAUAACAGGCUGAUCUCCCCCAAGAGUUCACAUCGACGGGGAGGUUUGGCACCUCGAUGUCGGCUCGUCGCAUCCUGGGGCUGAAGUAGGUCCCAAGGGUUGGGCUGUUCGCCCAUUAAAGCGGCACGCGAGCUGGGUUCAGAACGUCGUGAGACAGUUCGGUCCCUAUCCGUCGCGGGCGUAGGAAAUUUGAGAGGAGCUGUCCUUAGUACGAGAGGACCGGGAUGGACUGACCUAUGGUGUACCAGUUGUUUCGCCAGAAGCAUAGCUGGGUAGCUAAGUCGGGAAGGGAUAAACGCUGAAAGCAUCUAAGUGUGAAGCCCACCUCAAGAUGAGAUUUCCCAUAGCAUAAGCUAGUAAGACCCCUUGAAGACUACAAGGUUGAUAGGUCAGAGGUGUAAGUGCGGUAACGUAUUUAGCUGACUGAUACUAAUAGGUCGAGGGCUUGACCAAU
rnacentral:rRNA from 1 species